CCUACGGGGGGCUGCAGUGGGGAAUAUUGGACAAUGGGGGGAACCCUGAUCCAGCCAUGCCGCGUGUGUGAAGAAGGCCCUCGGGUUGUAAAGCACUUUCAGUGAGGAAGAACGCCUGGUGGUUAAUACCCAUCAGGAAAGACAUCACUCACAGAAGAAGCACCGGCUAACUCCGUGCCAGCAGCCGCGGUAAUACGGAGGGUGCGAGCGUUAAUCGGAAUUACUGGGCGUAAAGCGCGCGUAGGUGGCUUGAUAAGCCGGUUGUGAAAGCCCCGGGCUCAACCUGGGAACGGCAUCCGGAACUGUCAAGCUAGAGUGCAGGAGGGGAAGGUAGAAUUCCCGGUGUAGCGGUGAAAUGCGUAGAGAUCGGGAGGAAUACCAGUGGCGAAGGCGGCCUUCUGGACUGACUCUGACACUGAGGUGCGAAAGCGUGGGUAGCAAACAGGAUUAGAUACCCGUGUAGUC
rnacentral:rRNA from 1 species